CUCUCUCUCUCUCUCUCUCUCUUUAUGUUUGCAUAAGAUUGUGUGCGAGUAACAGAGGUUUUAAUUUGUUGGUCUUGUGAAUUUUGCUGCAAUUUUAAUACCAAGAUGGAGACUCAAAGAAAGAAAAGAAAAGAACACAAAAUUUGUUUUCAUGAACUUGUAGUCUCGGUCUCCCCCAUUUCUUUGAAUUUAUUAUUUUUUGUUUUCUAGUUGAAGGCUAAUUUAUUGGGAAGUGAAGAAAUGUUACGGCCAUGUGGGAUAAAGGGGCAGAAGCGGAAGAAGAGAGAGGAGAGAUAUGAUAAAGAGGAAGAUGAAGUGGAAGCUGAAGAGCAAUCCAUAGAAAGAGCGAAAAGAGCUAUGGUUGAAGAAAAAGAAAUGGCUAUGGAAACCAGCGGGAAGGAAGAAGAAGAAUUAGAAGGGCAAACACAUGAAAUGGCAGGCAUCCCAAUUGUUCCAAGUGAUUUAAAAACAAAAAAGCCUGGGCUUAUAUUUGUGCUUGAGAGGGCCUCUUUGGAAGUUGCUAAAGUUGGAAAGAGUUACCAGAUUUUGAAUUCUGACGAUCAUGCAAAUUUCUUGCGGAAAAAUAACAAAAAUCCAGCUGAUUAUAGGCCUGAUAUUGUUUAUCAGGCUCUCCUAUCAAUAUUAGAUAGUCCAGUAAAUAAGGCUGGGAGGUUGCGAGCUGUGUAUGUGAAAACAGAUAAGGGUGUUCUUUUUGAAGUUAAACCACAUGUGCGUAUACCAAGGACUUAUAAACGAUUUGCUGGAAUUAUGUUGCAGCUGCUUCAGCAACUGAGUAUAACUGCUGUUGGUAAGCGUGAGAAGCUUUUGCGUGUAAUCAAGAAUCCUGUGACCCAGUACCUGCCUGUCAACUCUCGUAAAAUAGGGUUCUCAUAUAGUUCAGAAAAACUGGUUAAAAUGAACAAGUAUGUAGCUGCAGUCAGUGAUGAUGUGGAUAUUGUUUUUGUGGUUGGUGCAAUGGCCCUUGGAAAAAUUGAUUGUGAUUAUAUAGAUGAUUUCAUAGCAAUUCAUGUAAAGAUCCAAGUCUUAUCCAUCAAGAUCUGGCUGUGUUGAAGGCUAUGGAUCAAAAGCUGACUUAAUGCAAUUGUAACACUUUCUUAUCAAUUUCUGGAUAUCCGCUGAGCGCUGCCUGGUGUAUCUCAAGGAUUUGUGAGGCUGUGGCUGACAAAUGGGAUGUAUUGUAAGCUGUUAUUGUUUAAAGUCGAAUGAGAGCUGGUUGUUGCCCGACUGCCAUUUUUUUCCCCUCAACCAUGAGCAGAAUUACAAAAGUUGAAGAUUAUCGGGAGAUGCUGAAACUAAAAGUUAGAAUAGAAUAGUUGCAGAUAUAGCGAAAUCACCAAGGUUGCCCAUUAGAGUAAUUUCUUAUCUAUCACCUUAUCGAUUAUUUAUGUAGAAGUAUUCUUGCGUAUAUCAUUUAAUAUUUGUUAUGAAUUUCUGAUUAAAUAACUCAUUUUAAGAAAAUAUUUUUUAAACUAAA